rnacentral:rRNA from 1 species
GACGGAGGGCGCAAGCGUUGUUCGGAAUUACUGGGCGUAAAGAGCGCGCAGGCGGUCGUUCAAGUCGAGUGUGAAAGCCCCCGGCUCAACUGGGGAGGGUCACUCGAUACUGAUCGACUUGAAGGCAGGAGAGGGAAGCGGAAUUCCCGGUGUAGUGGUGAAAUGCGUAGAUAUCGGGAGGAACACCAGUGGCGAAGGCGGCUUCCUGGCCUGUUCUUGACGCUGAGGCGCGAAAGCGUGGGGAGCGAACAGG